UGCUUAACACAUGCAAGUCGAACGGGAAAUAUUUCAUUGAGACUUCGGUGGAUUUGAUCUAUUUCUAGUGGCGGACGGGUGAGUAACGCGUGGGUAACCUGCCUUAUACAGGGGGAUAACAGUCAGAAAUGGCUGCUAAUACCGCAUAAGCGCACAGAGCUGCAUGGCUCAGUGUGAAAAACUCCGGUGGUAUAAGAUGGACCCGCGUUGGAUUAGCUAGUUGGUGGGGUAACGGCCCACCAAGGCGACGAUCCAUAGCCGGCCUGAGAGGGUGAACGGCCACAUUGGGACUGAGACACGGCCCAGACUCCUACGGGAGGCAGCAGUGGGGAAUAUUGCACAAUGGGGGAAACCCUGAUGCAGCGACGCCGCGUGAAGGAAGAAGUAUCUCGGUAUGUAAACUUCUAUCAGCAGGGAAGAUAGUGACGGUACCUGACUAAGAAGCCCCGGCUAACUACGUGCCAGCAGCCGCGGUAAUACGUAGGGGGCAAGCGUUAUCCGGAUUUACUGGGUGUAAAGGGAGCGUAGACGGUGUGGCAAGUCUGAUGUGAAAGGCAUGGGCUCAACCUGUGGACUGCAUUGGAAACUGUCAUACUUGAGUGCCGGAGGGGUAAGCGGAAUUCCUAGUGUAGCGGUGAAAUGCGUAGAUAUUAGGAGGAACACCAGUGGCGAAGGCGGCUUACUGGACGGUAACUGACGUUGAGGCUCGAAAGCGUGGGGAGCAAA
rnacentral:rRNA from 1 species